rnacentral:rRNA from 1 species
AGAGUUUGAUUAUGGCUCAGGAUGAACGCUAGCUACGGGCUUAACACAUGCAAGUCGAGGGGCAGCAUUAUCGAAGCUUGCUUGAUAGAUGGCGACCGGCGCACGGGUGAGUAACGCGUAUCCAACCUUCCCAUCACUCAGGGAUAGCCCGCCGAAAGGCGAAUUAAUACCUGAUGGUCUCCUUUGCGGACAUCUAACGAGGAGUAAAGAUUUAUUGGUGAUGGAUGGGGGAUGCGUCUGAUUAGGUAGUAGGCGGGGUAACGGCCCACCUAGCCGACGAUCAGUAGGGGUUCUGAGAGGAAGGUCCCCCACAUUGGAACUGAGACACGGUCCAAACUCCUACGGGAGGCAGCAGUGAGGAAUAUUGGUCAAUGGACGGAAGUCUGAACCAGCCAAGUAGCGUGCAAGGAUGACGGCCCUAUGGGUUGUAAACUGCUUUUGUGCGGGAAUAAAGUAUGGGACGUGUCCCAUUUUGCAUGUACCGCACGAAUAAGGACCGGCUAAUUCCGUGCCAGCAGCGGC